rnacentral:lncRNA from 1 species
GUGCGCAAUACAUAAACGUUUACAGCCAAAUAACAACGUAGUUCAGCUUUGCACUUCAUGCAGAACAGUUCAAAAUAAUGGAGGAACCCCCGAAAAGUCCAUUUUCCCUCGUUGUAAUACCUGAAACGAAAGAUGAGCCACUCAAAAGCCCAUCUCUCUCUGUGCCUUCCGAGACAAUGUCCAAAUGGCCAUCCCUCCGUGGUUUAGUGAACGACUGGCAGGAUCUUCUUGGACCGACCAAUGAGAACUCGGAAGGUCACGAAGAUUUCGAUUGGUCUGUCAGUUAUUUCAAAUCGACAAACAGCACCUGUUUCAGUUGGUUCCUCUCUACAGUGACACAAAUAAGUUCCGCAAUAUUAAACUUAUCUUGAUCUUAAUAGUCGGAAUCCUGUACGGUUUACAAUUCCAAAAACUCAAUCAGUUUGCAAUUCCAUUGCAGAAUGUAGAGUGCAGACCAUUAACCAUGCUUCUAUUGAAGUUCAGCGUACAGCAGAAAAUUCCCGUGGGCCGUCAACGAAGAAAACUACAUUGUUGAAGUUUUUAACGAAUUCAAGUAAUUCAAUGAUUCAAAGGUCAAUAUUAACAGCCAGUUUUAAAAUAAUAUUCCAAAAGUCUUAUAGAUAGAGUUAUUCGAAAAAUCUUUGGAUUUGUCAUUUCCAAGACCUGGUCCCUCCAUUGUGACAAGAGCGAUUGACUUUAAUUUAUAUAAGCAAGCAACUUUUGUUAUUUUGCUACCUUUAUUUUUCUAGAGUUGAUUGCUUUAACCGAGGCGUCCGUUAAUAAAAUAAGCUAUACCACAUCAUAGGUUCAGCUGGCUUACGGUCCCCUGAAGAGUAGAGUUUCCAACCGCUGCUUACGCAUCAUAAAGUAAUAUUAGACCUACAAGUUUACCGCCAAUUUGAGUAGAGCCUCUUUCUGGUUUUGUAAGGACAAAUUCUUGAAAUGUAAGAAUAACAAAAUUUCACCUUAACAGAUUAUACGAAGCGUGAAUCUAGACAGAAAAUGUUUUCAUAAAACAAUAAGCUACCUAUGCCGAGAAUCUUAUCUUCGAUUUGGACAUAAAAUUUGAUCGAUAGUUCAUUGAGGACUGAAUUUUGACGUUGUUCUUCGUAUUCCUUAUUCAAGGAAACUAAUUCCAAGUAUGCUUUUGUGUUAUAUUGUGAUUUAACUUUAAGUUACGAGAUCAGCUAUUUUUUCCCCUUUUAAAAAUAAGGUAAGUUCACACAAUACAUGACAUUUGAAUCUACUCGUUUCACAUGCACGCCAUUAUUGUCUAGUUUGCUCAUUUCAAAUAUUACUGGAGAAGAGACUGGCGAAAAGAGAACUAUAGUCUGAUAAGCUUAUUCUUAAUUAUACAUUCCAAAUAAAUUUAUGCUCUCGAGGUCUUAUAAUCUCUGAUUUUCUAAAUCAAUUAAAAUAAAAACAAGGAAAAUAUUGAUUCGAACAUCAACUUCCUUAUAGUUUAAACAAGUCAAAUAUGUGAAUAUCAAUGAAAAAUUCUGAAUGUGAAUGAACGCCAAGCUUCAAGGUCGAUGCGACAGAGAGUUUGAGCGCUCCACUAGCUGAAUAUCACCGACUACAUGAUGGUUUGGUAAGAAGAUGGUCAAAAUGGACAACCAUUUUUCCAGAUGGACAUGGAAAUGGGAAGGAUCUAAUAUCCUGCAUCGGAUUAAAGUGGAUUACCUCCUGUAGAACCUCCAUAGCCACCAACUUGUUCGCUGUGCAUUCCUCCUGUAAAACAUCGCCAGCGGAUUGACCUCCAUGUCCACCUCUUGCAGCUCCCCCAUAGCCACAGGCUUGUGCGCCGUAUCCGACACCGUAUCCUCCAUAGUCAACUGAUUGAUGACCUCCAUGCCCACCUUCUGCUGAUCCUCCGUAAGAAGGAGCAGGACUAGGAACUGCUUGGUGAUAGACCCUUGGUCGUGAAGCCAACACGAGGACAAGCUGAGGGCCAGGGUUACAUUGCGGGAUUGAUGCAGUACCGUAUCCCUUUUUUUGGGGACAAUUUUUUACUAAAAUGGCCUUUUAUAUUGCACUGUCAAAUACAAAUAAAAAUAUAACAAGUUGAGACGUUAUAUUUUAAGUAUAAAAUGAAUACUUACUAAGCACUGUGAUGUUCUUCCGUCCCUUUUCUUGUUUUCUUUUUUUUUUUUUGAUUGCAGGAUCAUCCGGUGUGGCAGACGGUUGGGUUGUUGGAGUAGUAGACUAAGAUUUGUAGGCCCAGGUGUUGGUAGCGUUGGAGGUGAAGCAAUUUUGCUUGGACUUGCAGCGGGUGGAUGAUUACGAGACUUAUCCUGACCGGCAGAUGGUGGGGAAAGUAGAAGUUGUAGCUCACCCGGGCCUGCUGAUGGAUGCUGCUGGAUGAUUUUUUUUUAUUUUAAAAAUAAAAUAAUACAAAUUUUUUACCAAA